rnacentral:sRNA from 19 species
UCGGUCGCCGCAUAAGGGGCCGAUGUGUCAGGGAGCGCCAUGCUUCUUGGCGUUCCCUCGUAUCUAUGUUGCUCCAAGGAGGAUGUAGUUAUGAGAA